UUGAAAGUAUAGCCUGCCCCCUGAGUAGUUAAAUGGCUGCGGUAACCUGACCGUGCAAAGGUAGCAUAAUAACUAGUUUUUUAAUUGAAAGCUUGAAUGAAAGGUUGGACGAGGGAAAAACUGUCUCUAUUUAAUUUAAUUAGAAUUUUAUUUUUAAGUAAGAAAGCUUAAAUUAAUUUGAAAGACGAGAAGACCCUAUAGAAUUUUAUAUUAAUUUUAAUAUUGGGAUGUGAGGAAUAGUUGGUUUUGGUAUUAUUAAAAAUAUUUUAUUGGGGCGAUAGAAAAAUUUAAGUAACUUUUUUUAAAUUUGUUCAUUAAUUUAUGAGUAAGUGAUCCAUAUUUUAUGAUUAUAAGAUUAAAUUACCUUAGGGAUAACAGCGUAAUCUUUUUUAAGAGUUCUUAUCGAAAAAAAGGAUUGCGACCUCGAUGUUGGAUUAAAAUUAACUUUUGGUGUAGGAGCUAGAAUGUUAGGUCUGUUCGACCUUUAAAAUUUUACA
rnacentral:rRNA from 1 species